rnacentral:rRNA from 1 species
GACGAACGCUGGCGGCGUGCUUAACACAUGCAAGUCGAACGCUGAAGCUCAGCUUUUGUUGGGUGGAUGAGUGGCGAACGGGUGAGUAACACGUGAGUAACCUGCCUCCUUCUUUGGGAUAACGCCCGGACACGGGUGCUAAUACUGGAUAUUCACUGUUCUUCGCAUGGGGGUUGGUGGUAAGGGUUUUUCUGGUGGGGGAUGGGCUCGCGGCCUAUCAGCUUGUUGGUGGGGUGAUGGCCUACCAAGGCUUUGACGGGUAGCCGGCCUGGGAGGGUGGCCGGUCACAGUGGGACUGAGAUACGGCCCAGACUGCUACGGGAGGCAGAAGUGGGGAAUAUUGAGCAAUGGGGGAAAGCCUGAUGCAGCGACGCGGCGUGAGGGAUGGAGGCCUUCGGGUUGUGAACCUCUUUCGCUCAUGGUCAAGCCGCAACAAUGGUUGUGGUGAGGGUAGUGGGUAAAGAAGCGCCGGCUAACUACGUG